UGGAAAAUUAUGCCGAUAAACAGGAUGGAAUUUGGGAAACAUUCGGAUUCUGACAACGGGCGAGAGUGGUUCGGUCGCGGCUUUUGAUCCAUCGGCUAUCACCCACGUUUUUCUGAAAAUAAAUUUUGUGCUUCUUCUAUUGGCAAGUUAACAAAGCUUUUUGAGUGGUUGUUUUUCCUUUGUAGUGUUCUGUGCUUGGCAGUUCUAGCAUACUGCGCAUUAAAACCCCGACUCAUAAUUUAACGUCGCGUUUAAUUUAACUAAAUAAUUGGGAGCAGUUUUAAUAAAUCAGUCCAGUCACAUAGAGUCCACGUUUGACACUCGCUACAACUCACAUGUGUCAAUCAGUGCAAUCGUCCAAAUUGCACUCACUUGCUACAAGCUCUCUUGUACACGCUCGUAUGAAAAUCACAUUGGCCAGCUCCGACAGAAGAUUCCGGACAACGAAUAAGCUCACACGCUACUAGUGCACGGCAUAUGAAACAAGGAGGAAUAACCUGGUGUUGUGUGUUCCGCUAAGGUCACCUGCCAAGCAAACAGAAUUCAAAAAAAAAAAAAAAA